rnacentral:rRNA from 1 species
UACGUAGGAUGCAAGCGUUGUCCGGAAUUACUGGGCGUAAAGGGCGAGUAGGCGGCCACUCAAGUCAGAUGUGAAAUAGCCCGGCUUAACCGGGAGGGGUCAUUUGAAACUGAGUAGCUAGAGUGCAGGAGAGGCUAGCGGAAUUCCUGGUGUAGCGGUGAAAUGCGCAGAUAUCAGGAGGAACACCGGUGGCGAAGGCGGGUCUCUGGGCCGGAUACUGACGCUGAGGAGCGAAAGCGUGGGGAGCGAACAGG